rnacentral:miRNA from 1 species
CUUCCGGUCAAAGAGGUCAAUGCACCUCCCUGACUCGAAGGGUUUCCUUCCGGUCGACAAGGUACAUGUACCUCAUCAACCGGAAGGAAACCCUUCUGAUCAAUGAGGUACAUCUACCUCAUUGACCGGAAG